rnacentral:rRNA from 1 species
GAGCCUAAAAUCUAGCCUGUACUUUUCCGUAUAAACUACCUUACAAUUCACCCAAACUAAAACAUUUAAACAUAACAGUAGCGGCGAUCGAAAUUAUACUUAGCGCUUAAUAAAUAGUACCGCAAGGGAAAGAUGAAAUAAUUAAUCUUAAGCUAAUAAUAGCAGAGACCCCAACUCGUACCUUUUGCAUCAUGGUCUAGCUAGUCUAACCAAGCAAAACGAAAAUUUUAGUUUGCCCCCCCGAAACUAAGCGAGCUACUUCAAAACAGCUUUUAGAGCUAACCCGUCUCUGUAGUAAAAGAGUGGGGAGAUUUUCAAGUAGAAGUGAUAAGCCUACCGAGCUUAGAAAUAGCUGGUUAUUCAAGAAAAGAACAAAAUUCUACCUCAAACCCCCCCCCUGCCACAAAACAAUCAACAAGGUUUGAGAGUUAUUCAAAUAAGGCACAGCUUAUUUGAAAAAGGAUACAACCUCCACCAUCGGGUAACCCAUAAUUCUCUCAUCAAGUGGGCCUGAAAGCAGCCACCUUUUAAAAAGCGUCACAGCUUAACUACCCUAACAUAAUCCCAUUUAUAUCGCCCAACCCAUCCCCAAUAUUGAAUGAUUCUAUAAUAAUAUAGAAUUCACUAUGCUAGAACUAGUAACAAGAAUUUAACAUUCUCCUAAAUGUAUGCGUCAACCAGAACGGAUUCCCCACUGGUAAUUAACGACAAUGAACCAAAUACAAUAACUCCCCAAGAAAACCCUGUACAACUCUUCGUUAACCUCAUACUAGAACAUUUUAGGUAAGAUUAAAAGAGAGAAAAGGAAUUCGGCAAAUCUCGACCCCGCCUGUUUACCAAAAACAUCGCCUCUUGCCAAUAAUAAGAGGUCCAGCCUGCCCAGUGAAAAUUAAACGGCCGCGGUACCCUAACCGCGCAAAGGUAGCAUAAUCACUUGUUCCUUAAAUAGGGACCAGUAUCAACGGCACCACGAGGGUCGCACUGUCUCCACUCUCCAAUCAGUGAAACUGAUCUUUCCGUGAAGAAGCGGAAAUAUAAUUAUAAGACGAGAAGACCCCAUGGAGCUUUAAACCUUAAUCAACUUAAUAUAAUAUCUCCUCAAUAAUUAUAAGCCUUGCCUAAUGGUUUUAGGUUGGGGCGACCACGGAGUAAAAACCAACCUCCACGACGAAAUAGGACCUAAUCCUUAUCCAAGAGACACCCCUCCAAGAAUUAGAAUACUAACGCACAUGACCCGAUAAUCGAUCAACGAACCAAGUUACCCUGGGGAUAACAGCGCAAUCUACUUCAAGAGCCCAUAUCGACAAGUAGGCUUACGACCUCGAUGUUGGAUCAGGGUAUCCUAGUGGUGCAGCCGCUACUAA